UGGAACUCUUGGAGCUGGCCCAGAGCAACAGCGAGCACAGCCGCCAUUGGUUCUUCCGCGGUCACGUGACCAUCGACGGCGCCCCCGUGGCGCAGAGCCUCUUCCGGUCGCUGAUGGACACGCAGGGCCCCGCCCACCCCAACAACGUCAUCAAGUUCUGCGACAACAGCAGCGCCAUCCGCGGGGUCCCGGUGUCCGCUCUGUGGCCGCAGGACCCGGCCGGGCCCAGCCCCUACGAGAGGAGGACGAGCGUGCGGCACGUCACCUUCACCGCCGAGACGCACAACUUCCCCACCGG